rnacentral:lncRNA from 1 species
CCAGCCUUUUUGAAGUCCGCAGCGGAGACUUCGGCGAAAAUGCGAUCUCUUGACGCAUUCAGCGGGGUAUAUGUUGUGAACUUUCCCCGAGGAGGUUUGGAAUCUUUGAUCCUUUCCUCCCUUUGCUUUUCGUUACCUCUUCGCGAGGUUCCAGCUUCGUCCUUUUCAUGGUUCCUGGUUUUUUCUUGACUUUUAGGCCUUCUGACAUCUUUGGCCCUUUGUUUCUCCUCGUAAGUUAUGUACUUCUUCGCCUUUUCGAAGAAUGCAUCCAGUGUUUUCGGCUCUUCGAUACCGACAGCUUUAGCAAAGUCGCUGUCUGGAUGUAAUCCCCUGUCGAGGAGGUACAGCUUCAUGCUCUCAUCGACCUUCACUUCAACGGCUGCCUUGUUGAACCGUUCGAGNNNNNNNGUUGCUUCAGUUUUUGGGUGACGCCUCGAGGAAGUGAAGUGAGCCCGGAAGCGGGCGCACAGGUCCGACCAGGAGUCCACGGAUCCUGGCGCCAAGCUCUUGUACCAAGCCAUAGCGCCUUUCCUCAGUGUUGUGGGAAAGAGCUUACACUUGAUAGAGCCUCGUACAUUUCUGUACUCGAGGAGAGCUUCAAGAUUUUCGAUGUGCUCGUCGGGGUCUGUCGAGCCAUCGUAGGUAUCCAUUGCCGGUGGUUUUUCAAGUCCGACCGGNNNNNNNNNNNNNNNNNNNNNNNNNNNNNUCGUAGGUAUCCAUUGCCGGUGGUUUUUCGAGUCCGACCGGUAGGGGAAGUUCUCGGAUCCUUCGGGAGAGGGGGCCUUGGUGACUGUCCCUCUCUUCCGGGGAUCGGUUCCUUUGACGGCGAGGAGGGUUGUCCCUUCUAGGGGAAUGUCUCCUCGGCGGGGUGGAGUUUCGAGAUAUAGCC